CAAUUAAAUAAAAACGCUUUGUUUCAACAAAUAGAUCCUGGUAAUGUUGUUUUGUUUAACAAACACGAGCCCUUACUCUUUUAAUCUGAAGGCUCUUUUUCGGCGUUUUUCCUUCUUUGAAUCGCAAUUGACAGACGCACCAAACCCAGAACACCUGAAGUUGGUUGGUAUUGGUUUACUUGUUGAUUUUUCACGGAGUUUUGUUUGUCACAGCACAGUGUUAGACUGAUGAGGCGAAGUCCACGUGCCCACACAGUCUCACCAAAGCUCUGGCCUUGGCAUAGACCGGCUCCAGGAAGUGAAAGGGAAGCAGCAUGAAGAACAUCACCAGAAAGACAGCGCUUGUCACUGCCAGCAGCACGUAACGGCCGAUAAACAAAGUGUCCACUAUCUGUGGGGGAAGAAAAGGGACGAUCAGUUUAGUGUUGUACCCAAUGACCCAUGGACGGUUCGGGGGCCUCUGCAGUAGUUUAUCUUUGACUCAUACUUGGCAAGAAAUGUCAUCAUCAUCAUCAACCUGCUAUUGAAGGCGUAAGAAGUCUUUCAACCUCUC